CUUUGUUAUCGACUGUCGCGACCGUGGAUCCGACACUUUCUUUAGAGUGCCUCAGGCUCUCCCACCGAAAUCCUAUCCCGCCACGUCCUCGUUGUGCAAAGUGGUGUAACUUCCCCCACCCCAUAUCCAAGCUUGGAUGCACGGGCCAGUCACAACCCCCUGGGCCGAUGGUGUAGCAUGGCUAAACAGGAGGAG
rnacentral:ribozyme from 1 species